UACGUAGGGGGCUAGCGUUGUCCGGAAUCAUUGGGCGUAAAGCGCGUGUAGGCGGUCCGGUAAGUCCGCUGUGAAAGUCGAGGGCUCAACCCUCGAAUGCCGGUGGAAACUGUCGGGCUGGAGUCCGGAAGAGGCGAGUGGAAUUCCUGGUGUAGCGGUGAAAUGCGCAGAUAUCAGGAGGAACACCAAUGGCGAAGGCAGCUCGCUGGGACGGUACUGACGCUGAGACGCGAAAGCGUGGGGAGCAAACAGG
rnacentral:rRNA from 1 species